CAGAGCGUAGCUAAACAGUAAAGCAUCUCCCUUACACCGAGAAGGCACCUGUGCGAAUCAGGUCGCUCUGA
rnacentral:tRNA from 1 species